rnacentral:rRNA from 1 species
UUUAUGGAGAGUUUGAUCCUGGCUCAGGAUGAACGCUGGCGGCGUGCCUAAUACAUGCAAGUCGAGCGAACGGACGAGAAGCUUGCUUCUCUGAUGUUAGCGGCGGACGGGUGAGUAACACGUGGAUAACCUACCUAUAAGACUGGGAUAACUUCGGGAAACCGGAGCUAAUACCGGAUAAUAUUUUGAACCGCAUGGUUCAAAAGUGAAAGACGGUCUUGCUGUCACUUAUAGAUGGAUCCGCGCUGCAUUAGCUAGUUGGUAAGGUAACGGCUUACCAAGGCAACGAUGCAUAGCCGACCUGAGAGGGUGAUCGGCCACACUGGAACUGAGACACGGUCCAGACUCCUACGGGAGGCAGCAGUAGGGAAUCUUCCGCAAUGGGCGAAAGCCUGACGGAGCAACGCCGCGUGAGUGAUGAAGGUCUUCGGAUUGUAAAACUCUGUUAUUAGGGAAGAACAUAUGUGUAAGUAACUGUGCACAUCUUGACGGUACCUAAUCAGAAAGCCACGGCUAACUACGUGCCAGCAGCCGCGGUAAUACGUAGGUGGCAAGCGUUAUCCGGAAUUAUUGGGCGUAAAGCGCGCGUAGGCGGUUUUUUAAGUCUGAUGUGAAAGCCCACGGCUCAACCGUGGAGGGUCAUUGGAAACUGGAAAACUUGAGUGCAGAAGAGGAAAGUGGAAUUCCAUGUGUAGCGGUGAAAUGCGCAGAGAUAUGGAGGAACACCAGUGGCGAAGGCGACUUUCUGGUCUGUAACUGACGCUGAUGUGCGAAAGCGUGGGGAUCAAACAGGAUUAGAUACCCUGGUAGUCCACGCCGUAAACGAUGAGUGCUAAGUGUUAGGGGGUUUCCGCCCCUUAGUGCUGCAGCUAACGCAUUAAGCACUCCGCCUGGGGAGUACGACCGCAAGGUUGAAACUCAAAGGAAUUGACGGGGACCCGCACAAGCGGUGGAGCAUGUGGUUUAAUUCGAAGCAACGCGAAGAACCUUACCAAAUCUUGACAUCCUUUGACAACUCUAGAGAUAGAGCCUUCCCCUUCGGGGGACAAAGUGACAGGUGGUGCAUGGUUGUCGUCAGCUCGUGUCGUGAGAUGUUGGGUUAAGUCCCGCAACGAGCGCAACCCUUAAGCUUAGUUGCCAUCAUUAAGUUGGGCACUCUAAGUUGACUGCCGGUGACAAACCGGAGGAAGGUGGGGAUGACGUCAAAUCAUCAUGCCCCUUAUGAUUUGGGCUACACACGUGCUACAAUGGACAAUACAAAGGGCAGCGAAACCGCGAGGUCAAGCAAAUCCCAUAAAGUUGUUCUCAGUUCGGAUUGUAGUCUGCAACUCGACUACAUGAAGCUGGAAUCGCUAGUAAUCGUAGAUCAGCAUGCUACGGUGAAUACGUUCCCGGGUCUUGUACACACCGCCCGUCACACCACGAGAGUUUGUAACACCCGAAGCCGGUGGAGUAACCUUUUAGGAGCUAGCCGUCGAAGGUGGGACAAAUGAUUGGGGUGAAGUCGUAACAAGGUAGCCGUAUCGGAAGGUGCGGCUGGAUCACCUCCUUU